rnacentral:rRNA from 1 species
GACGAACGCUGGCGGCGUGCUUAACACAUGCAAGUCGAAGGGAAACGCCCUGCAUUUGUUGGUUUUGCGAGUGGUGAACGGGUGAGUGGCACGGGAGUACCCUGCCCACGACUUCGUGACUACGGCAUGAAAUUGCGGAUGUUACCCGAUAGGAGCUCGUGCUGCCUGGUGGGCGUUGGAAAGGUUCGGCGGUUGGGGAUGGACUGGCGGGUUAUGAGCUUGUUGGUGGGGUAGUGGCUGACCAAGGCUUUGACGGGUAGCCGGCCUGAGAGGGUGACCGGCCACAUUGGGACUGAGAUACGGCCCAGACUCCUACGGGAGGCAGAAGUGGGGAAUAUUGCACGAUGCGCGGAAGCCUGAUGCAGCAACGCCGCGUGAGGGAUGACGGCCUUCGGGUUGUAGACCGCUUUCGCCUGUGACGAAGCGUGAGUGACGGUAAUGUAUAAAGAAGCACCGGCUAACUACGUG